GUUAUUUUAGUUUAAGAAAAACCUUACAUUUUCAAUGUAAAAAUAAGCAAUCGUUUAUUUAAUU
rnacentral:tRNA from 1 species